rnacentral:rRNA from 1 species
AUUGAACGCUGGCGGCAGGCCUAACACAUGCAAGUCGAACGAGUGGCGGACGGGUGAGUAAUGUCUGGGAAACUGCCCGAUGGAGGGGGAUAACUACUGGAAACGGUAGCUAAUACCGCAUACCAUCGGAUGUGCCCAGAUGGGAUUAGCUAGUAGGUGGGGUAACGGCUCACCAAGGCGACGAUCCGUAGCUGGUUUGAGAGGAUGACCAGCCACACUGGGACUGAGACACGGCCCAGACUCCUACGGGAGGCAGCAGUGGGGAAUUUUGGACAAUGGGGGAAAGCCUGAUCCAGCCAUGCCGCGUGUGUGAAGAAGGCCUUCGGGUUGUAAAGUACUUUCAGCGGGGAGGCGUUACUCGCAGAAGAAGCACCGGCUAACUCCGUGCCAGCAGCCGCGGUAAUAC